GUGUAGACCCUUUCGUUCCCGGGGCCUUCUGCAGCCGCCCAAGCCGUCGCCCGGCCCACACCGCCUCUUUCUCCGCUCUCCUUGCGCCUGGACGAGGCCCAUACUCCUAGCUGUACAGAUGUGCCGCUGUGAAUUCUGUGCUAGUUCAGGAUCGCUCCAUCCAGCAAGCAAAGUGACUUUCAGGUGCCUUUGGAGAAGGCCUGGCCUUCCUUGCUGUUGCACGCUGAAGCAGAGAGAAUGAAGGGGAUGCCUGGAGAUGAGACGCGGGGAGCCCAGAUGAAAGCCAGAUGUGGAGGACUCCGUUUCUUUCGGUCCCUCUUGAGAUUCCUUUGGCUCUUAUCCCCAGUUUGUACGAGACAACCCUUGUAAGACAGUCGCCCUUUUUCUCCUAA